rnacentral:tRNA from 1 species
UUCUUUUUUUUUGAAUUUAGGAAAAAUUUAUUUUAAAAAAAUGAUAGAGGUUGAUUGGAAUAUUAUGGAAGAAA